rnacentral:misc_RNA from 1 species
CAGAAGGGACUGCCUUCCCCUCAGUGCUCGCCCCUCCCUAGUGAUCACUCAGUGCCCCUGAGCUCAUUCUUUUCAGUAAAUUCUCUCUCUGCGUGGUGAGAAAACAGGCCUGGAGAGGCUCUGCGACCCGCUUAGGACCACAGAACUCGAGAAUUACCUUUUCCAGGGACGGCAGGAAUGCUACGCGUUUAAUGGGACACAGCGCUUCCUGGAGAGAUACAUCUACAACCGGGAGGAGCUCGUGCGCUUCGACAGCGACGUGGGGGAGUUCCGGGCGGUGACGGAGCUGGGGCGGCCUGAGGCGGAGUACUGGAACAGCCAGAAGGACAUCCUGGAGGAGGAGCGGGCAGUGCCGGACAGGAUGUGCAGACACAACUACGAGCUGGGCGGGCCCAUGACCCUGCAGCGCCGAGUCCAGCCU